rnacentral:rRNA from 1 species
GAUGAACGCUGGCGGCGCGCCUAAUACAUGCAAGUCGAGCGAACCAUUUCGGUGGUGAGCGGCGAACGGGUGAGUAACACGUAGGUAAUCUAUCCAUUAGACGGGGACAACGACUGGAAACGGUCGCUAAUACCGGAUAGGACGAAAGUUUAAAGAUGCUUCGGCAUCACUAAUGGAUGAGCCUGCGGCGCAUUAGCUAGUUGGAGAGGUAAGAGCUCCCCAAGGCGACGAUGCGUAGCCGACCUGAGAGGGUGAACGGCCACACUGGGACUGAGACACGGCCCAGACUCCUACGGGAGGCAGCAGUAGGGAAUCUUCGGCAAUGGACGAAAGUCUGACCGAGCAACGCCGCGUGAAUGAAGAAGGCCUUCGGGUUGUAAAAUUCUGUUAUAAGGGAAGAAAGACACGAGUAGGAAGUGGCUCGUGAGUGACGGUACCUUAUGAGAAAGCCACGGCUAACUACGUGCCAGCCGCCGCAGUAA